rnacentral:SRP_RNA from 1 species
GCUAGGUUCAGUGGCACACUUGUAGUCCCAGCCACUUAGCAGGCUGAGGUGGGAGGAUCACUUGAGCCCAGAAGUUCUGGGCUGUAGUGUACUGUAUCAAUCAGGUGUCUGCACCAAAUGUAGCAUCAAUGGUAACCUCCCAGGAGCAGGGGUCCACCAGGAUGCUUAAGGAGGGAAGAACUGACCCAGGCUGGAAACAGAGCUGAUCAGUAGUGGGAUCAAGACUGUGAAUAGCUACUAUACUUCAGACUGGGCAACAUAGCAAGACUUCUAUCUCUU